rnacentral:rRNA from 1 species
CCCUUAGAUGUUCUGGGCCGCACGCGCGCUACACUGAUCAGUGCAACAAGCAUCCGUCCUUGGCCGACAGGCCCGGGCAAUCUUUGAACGCUGAUCGUGAUGGGGAUAGACUUUUGCAAUUUUUGGUCUUCAACGAGGAAUUCCUAGUAAACGCAAGUCAUCAACUUGCAUUGAUUACGUCCCUGCCCUUUGUACACACCGCCCGUCGCACCUACCGAUUGAAUGGUCCGGUGAAAUCUCGGGACGGCGGCUCGGUCGCUUGCGUCCGACUGCUGAAACUUGAUUAAACCAUAUCAUUUAGAGGAAGGUGAAGUCGUAACA